GACGAACGCUGGCGGCGUGCUUAACACAUGCGAGUCGAACGGAAAGGCCUGCUUUCCCUUGUGGAUUGCGGGUACUCGAGUGGCGAACGGGUGAGUAACACGUGAGUGAUCUGCCCCCAACUUGGGUAUAAGCCUGGGAAACUGGGUCUAAUUCCCGAUAGGACUGCAGGGUGGUGCCUGUGGUGGAAAACGAUUUUCUAGUGGUUGAGGAUGAGCUCGCGGCCUAUCAGCUUGUUGGUGGGGUAAUGGCCUACCAAGGCGGCGACGGGUAGCCGGCCUGAGAGGGUGGACGGCCACAUUGGGACUGAGAUACGGCCCAGACUCCUACGGGAGGCAGCAGUGGGGAAUAUUGCACAAUGGGCGGAAGCCUGAUGCAGCGACGCCGCGUGGGGGAUGACGGCCUUCGGGUUGUAAACUCCUUUCGACCGCGAGGAAGCCACCUGGUUGGAAGGGUGGUGACGGUAGUGGUAGAAGAAGCACCGGCUAACUACGUG
rnacentral:rRNA from 1 species